GUUCCCUAAAAGCACUUCACGAGACCUUGGCUUAAUAAAGGGCCCUUGUGAAGUGUUUGGGGGAACUC
rnacentral:pre_miRNA from 1 species